rnacentral:misc_RNA from 1 species
GUGAAUCAUCAAAUUUUUGAACGCAACUUGCGCCUUCUUUCGGGAGGCAUGUCUGUUUGAGGUCACCAUUUAAUAACUAAUGUGCGGGUCGCUAUGCGGCGUGCACACGUUGAUGAGCUCUUCCGAAAAACCAGGUUUUUUUGUUGACACAUAAUGAACAGCGUGGGCUUUUUCUUUUGCUUAUCGUUU